GUGUUGUAUGAAAUUAGAGAGGGUUAGCACUCCCCUUGACAAGGAUGGAAGUGGCCCCUGUGUCCUGCAACACAAAUGGUUAGAGCACAGCUGCUACAAUGGUGCUGUGACCCGGAUGAGAGU